rnacentral:lncRNA from 1 species
GCACGGCGAGGCGCGCACGCGGGAGCUCUUGGUGGCCUGGUCAGCGCAGAGGUGUGGGUGCGCGGCACCGGGUCAUGGAGGUCCGAGGCGAGGCCCGUGCGACGGAUCUGGUGGCUCCGGAACCAGCUAUGGAUGCCGCUGAUGCGUGGAGGUCGGGGCACUACUAAGGUGUUUCACGAUGUCAGCGAGUGGAGGCCUGCAGGGAGGUGCGUCGGCGGGCAGCAAGGGGCGACUGGAGGCGGAGGAUCUGGCACGGGAGGUGCGUUUUGCGGAUCUGGCACCCUCGCGUCGUUCUAAGGGGUGCUGAGGUGCGGGAGGCCGACACAGGGUGGUGUGCCUGGCGCAUCCGGCUGAGGUGGCCGGGUGCUGGGUGAUGUGUGCGCUCAGCGUGCGUUGGGGUGUGCUGGAGGAAUUGGCAGCGAGGAUCUACGUCAUGGUGGCUGCCUGCUACAGCGUGGUGGAGGACUGUCGUGGUGCUUGUGGUCAGGCGGCUGCCUUAGUAGAUCCCAUGGUGAAGGUGCUUAAGCGCCN